CUGCUUCUUUGCUGCUGUCAAAUACCAUGUGGAAGAUCAGAAAACGUCGGCAGGAGGUGGGAGAGAAGGCAAUGCAGAGAUGAAGGACAUCAUACCACAAUAAUAGUUGGGUGUAUAAGCCUGAUCAACAAGUGAAAAGAGUCAGAUAAGAGGAAAGAGUUUGAAAACUGAUUUGACGACCACUGCUGAAUUGGCCUGCUAAGAGGAAGAGGUACUAAUAAUUCCAGAAGAGGAAGCCAAAGAAG